UACGGCUUCUUCCUGGACCCACCCGGUACCUGCACCCUCUCAUUGUCUAAGACUGGCCAUGCUGCUGCUGCUCUUCCCCUGUGCUUUUGCCCCGGACCGUCGGAACAUCUUGCAACGGGACUACUGCCGGAUCCUGGUGGAAAUUAGGAGGCAUUACUUUUGAAGCAACAUUCAUGUUUGCAUCUAGAACACCCAUAAUGGCUUUUUAAUGUCAUCCCUCAGGAAGUGAAGGUUUGAGGUUUGCAUCCUGUGUGUCCAGCAUGAUGUUACUGGUGAUCCUACUGGUCACUAGUCCACACAAAGAAAUCUGGCGUGAAGUGGAACUGAAUAUUUUUGGAGCACAAAGAAACGCACAGCAUUUAGAGUACUCAAACAUCUUCGUGGUGUGUAUUCACCUAGGUAGAUGAAGCUUAGUGGAGGGAAAUGGGCAAAAUAUAGAUCUCUCUGUACUGAGUGAUAAAAAAAAUUCUUUGUGGAGUGUUCCAUUUUCUCCAGCUGGUAGGGUCAGAAAUGUAUAUUGGGAGCAAGGCUAUAGACAUUUCGAUGCAAACACAUCACUAAAGUAUGAAGAGCCCUUAAAAUAAAAAAGCUUUGCAAAGGCAUUCUCAUUUAUUUUCCAAGAAAUCUAUUUUAAAAAACAAUUCCAGUAGUUUUGUGAUAUCUCAAACUGCUAUAUCUUAAAAAGAAGAAAUCUUUAUUCUUAUAUUUAAACCCAGUUAUUCCCUUUAGGAAAAUAUGCAAAAGACACUUAGCUAUCAAAACUGAAAUGUUUCAAUACCAAAUUUGAGUGAGACAAGAAAAAAGUAUAAUUUUCUUUAUUAAGAUACCAUUAAUUUGGAUGGCAUUUUAUUUGUCUUAAUGUCCUAUGACUGACUUUAUAUUUUCCUUCAUGUGUAUAUAGCUAUGCAUAAACUUUCACAGGAAAGAGACUUAUAUCUUUACAUAUACAUAUGUGAAUUCUCUUCAAUUGAAUGCUUUUAUAUGUAGAUAAAAAUAUCAACUGAGACAAUAAACAUUUCAACAUCAUAAGGAAAAGUAAAAUAUUUCAGGAGUUUCAAGUGGAUGCAUUUUCACAUUGCUACCUUGCUUACUUCAAAUGCUGUUUCCAAUCCUGAGUAUUAUGUCAAAGGUUCCUUAGUUUUGAAUGCCUUUAGUUAAUACGUUGUGAAAACUGAAAUCUGUUUGUAUACUAUACUGGCCUUAAUAAGUAAAUAAAAAGCUAUUUCUAGUUAAUUUUAUGAAAAUCAUGAAAGCUUAGUGUGAAGAAUGUAAGUGAGAGAAAUUGUUGAUUUUAGUUGUAAAAAUUAGAAUAAUGUCAUUUGAGAAGUAUCAAUAUUGGAAAAAAAAAAUGCAUGGUUUCCUACAUAAUGUUGAAUAGUUUUGCUUUUUUGAUGUAGGCAUAAUUUCUUUUAUUUGAUGUUUGCAUUUCUACUUUUAUAAUAAUUCCUGUGGCUAAGUAUAGGAAAUGUAAUCUUCCUUGUGUUCUUAGAUAAGUGCAAUGCUUGACUUUGUGCCCACUGGCCUACCAGUGAUUAUUUUGAAUACAUGGUAUCUGCAAUACAUAAAGAGCUCUGAAGGGUAAACACCCAUGAAAGUUACACUGGAAGCUCACACAAUACAUUGGAACUUCAAUUGUUCUCUUAACUUGCAUUAAAUUCUCAUUUUUUCAUGACUUUCAAGGUUUUAUAUGAAGGUUGGGUUAAAAUGGUUUGCUAUCCUGGAAAAAAAUCACCAUGCUUAGAAUGCUUUAAUAUACUGAAUUCACAGAAGAAAGCAUUCAAAGCAAAAUUUUGCUGUAUAACAGAAGGAAAUGGCAAUUGCAAUGAGAAGAUAGGACACAGGAAAUCUACACUUUCUCCUGCAUAACUAGGCCAAGAGACAUUAAGUAUUUCAUAUGUUUCUCUUCUCAAAUGCGGAAAUGAACAUUUUGAAUUUUUGCUAUACAUUCUGCUCAGUUGGCUGCAGGAAUAGCUUUCAUAAUUUAUAAAACUCAUGUCACUUCAGAAUUUCCUUUAUUCUUAAGUAUUUCCAGACUUUCUUUAGAAGUUGUACUACUGAAACUAAUUUGUCAAUGCUCCUAAACCCCAACAUGCAAAUAUAGUCUUAUACUUUUAAAUACUUAAUCUACCGCUGCAUCCAGUAAUUCAAUUAGCUCUCUCUGUUGUUUGUUUUCUUUCAAGAAAAUCUGCUUUGGGCUACAGUGUUUCCAGAAUAUCAUUUUUUGUAUUUCUAAACAGGAAAAUAAUGAUUACAUUAAAACUUUACAG
ensembl:lncRNA